UUUUUGUAUGCGAACGCAUGCAAGCCGUGUGUGUGUCAUAGCGCAAAUGUUCCAAAUGUUAUUUUGUAGCUGGGUAGAAAACCCCAUGUUUGUUGUAUGCCUGCUGUAUAGGCCUAUGUGGCUCUAUUCCUAAACGUGACUAAUUAAUCAACUUCACAGAUCAAGACGGAGUAUUGCUUUUAAUCGAGCCGGCUACGAAUCCUCCAGUUUAUGCAAGUCCGGAGGCCGAUGAAAAUAUUGCCAUGGAUGGGUCUGAAAGAACUGAGACUGUGGUCGAGGAAGCGGCGGGUACAUCAGGGUCGCAAUAUCAGCAUGUAAGACAUAUCCUAGGCUACUCACUUAAUUUAUUGGCCAAGUAUGUCGCUUGAAUGUUAAA